rnacentral:rRNA from 1 species
CUCGGUAUUGCGAUUGCUUUUACCAAAGUUGAUCAAACUUGAUGAUUUGGAGGAAAUAAAAGUCGUAACAAGGUUUCCGUAGGUGAACCUGCGGAAGGAUCAUUA